UGUUCUUCAAUUUACAGGGGAGUCUAGUUUAGUAUAUUCUAAACCCUUGAUAGGAUGCAGGCUUGGUAUCAUUCUUCAAAGUUUUGAUAACUUAGUUCACCUGCUAAAUUAUACUUAUAUAAGGGUUAGAGUGAUUUUCAUAUGUGAAAUAUGCUGCCCAAACUAUGUUUUUUAACAGGUCGUGCCCUGGUGUGGGAAAAUUCCAACAGCAGCGGUGCUUCAGCCUUAGUGCGUGAGUUUGUGGUAAAGGUUUUGGGUGGAAGGUUCAUUUUUUUAACAUGUGUGAGAAUAUAUACCCUCAGGGUGUUUAUAGAUUGGACCCUGGCUUUGGAGUUCCCAGCAGAGGAGAGCUUUCGCUCUUGCUGGGUGAGUGGAGGUUCUGGUUCUUGAGAUAGGGGUGCGAGACAAGAGAUGAAUUGUUUCUAAUGAGUGUGACAAUGAAAUGCUUUAACAAAGAUAUAUCUUUGUUUAUUAGGUUGGACCCUGGUCUGAAUAAAGUCUAGCCAUGGAGGUAAUUCAGCCUUGGCAGGUAAGUAGACAAGCUGGUGCUAGUGGUGGGGCAAUUGGUUGGAUUUUUGUGAGCAUUCCUCUGCCUUAGGAUUCCUGGUGAAGGGAUAGAUUGGUUUCAAUGUGCAUAAGGUGUGUGUGCUACUUCACCUAGGCAUCUCUUUUAAUCAGAUGGGGAGCUGCUUUUGAAAACCCUCUGUGGAGGCACUUCAGCCUUGGCCGGUGAGUGGGAAUUACCAAUCUUGGUGUUGUAGGAUGGGCUUUGCUUUGGGAGAUAUUUAGUCCCAGAAGCAUUUUAUUCUUCAUGGGUAAGUAGGCAUGCCGGUGCUGGAGGUAGGAUGUGGAGAUAUUGGUUUUGGUGUUAAGAUUGAGUCUCUUUUUUAGGCUAGGCCCUGAUAAGGUAAACUUUCUAGGUGAAUGUGGAUGUGUGAGAAAAACCCUCUCUGAAAGGGACUAGAGAAUGUGUAAUGAAUAACACUAUAAGUGUUGGUGAGAGACCUAAACAGCUGUGACAAAUAAACAUGUUUUGCUUCUUCAACUCCCUGCACCCCAACUAUUUAUUGUGUGAACGAAAACUUGUACUGUGGAGCUUCAGGUCUUCUACCAAUUGCACCCGUCACAGACACAGAAGGGUUUUAUAGGUUUGACUUUUGUUUUAUAAAAUGCCAUGGAGACACCUCAGCUGAGGCUGGUGAGUAGGUCUACAGGUCUCUUAUACAAGUCUGUUGGGGAUAAGUGUGUCAGAGAAGAAACCGGAUCAUUAGUGGGUGAGUGGGGAUGCACAUGGUAUAGAAUGAUAGCUUUUUGGGGGGAGAAUUCACUGCUUAAUUGUUUUUGUUUUACAGGUUGAACCGUAAUUUGGAACUUGUCUUACCAAGGAGCUAUUUGCUAUUGGUAAUUGCUAGUUCUUGUGGUAGAGGUGAAGGUUACAAGAUCAAUAAUGUUAGUACUACCUAUGGCUGAAGUGGCAGUGCAGCCCUUUCAGGUGAGUGGGGGUUUCUGGUACUCCCGGUAGGUGCCUUAGUCAAGGGUUUGAUUUCUUUUGAGAUGCAUAGGGAUGUGCUUCAGCCUAGGCUUCUUUAUUUUACAGGUUGGUUUGGGAGAAGUCCGGGCUAUGGAGGUGUAUUAUCCUUGGUAAAUGACUGGGGUUGCAGGUGCUUGUGGUAGGUGUGCAAGUGAGGAAUAUACCAUUCAGCUUGCAUGCCUAUUUUUUUUAUAGUUUCCAAUAUGGUGUCAUAAAAAUCCAUCCAUGCUUUGUUUUUCAGGUUUUACCAGGAAAAACUGGCUUUGGAGGCACUUUAUCCUUCUCAGGUGCUGCUUCAGUCUUACAAUAGGUUGGGUCCUGGAGAAACUGGAGCAAGUUGGGCUUUCAAUUGGUUGGGGAAAGUCACGCUGUUGAUGCCAUGAGGUUUCACAGCUGUUGCAGAUGAGAGGGUUUCUUGUAGUUAUAGCAGGGAGGUGGAAGUCAAUUGAUAUAUUGAUUUUAAUGUGAAUGAAAAUGCAUUGCUUUAGUCUAAGUUUCCCUUUAUUUUCCUGGUCAGGUCCUGGUACUGAUAGUCCAGCCAAGGAGGCUCUAUAGCUUUGGCCAAUAAGUAACUGAUUACUGAGUAGGAGAGCUGGAGUCUCUUUUUUUAACAGAAUGGGCCCACAAAUGAGAAAAGUCAGCAGUAGGUGGCUUUGGAAGAUUGAGCCUUGGUUUGGGGAAAGUCCUUCUGCAGAAGACGCCAUGAGUAGCAAUGCUCACAGCAGCAGAAUUUAUAUUUACAGGUUGUGACUAUCUGCUCACAGAGGCACUUACGCCUUAGAGGUGAGUAGGGGUGCAGAUACUUGUGUGGCACAGGGCAUUGUUGAUGCUGGAUGUCUGUUUUAUAUAUUGGGCCUUGGUUUAGUAAUUGUCCAGUGGCCACUGUGGUUCUUCACUUUUGGUAGGAGAGUGGAGCAAUAGUACUUGCUUGUGGGGUUCACGUGGUGUUGUUUUUAUUAGUACCUUUAUUUUAGAAGUGAGGCCUUUUUUUAGUCUGGCCAUGGUGGCUUUUUAGCCAUUUUAGGUGAGUGGGGAUGCUGAAGCUUUUGGUAGCUGGUCAUAUGGGUAAUCCAGUGGUUUAGGUGUACAAAGGUACGAUCUCUUACCUAUGUAUCUUUCUUUUACAGGUUGGGAAAGUUCAGCCUUUGCUAUACAUGAAUGGGCUACUUUAGCCUAGGUUUCUCUGUAACAGGUUGUACAGCGAAUUGCAGAGGUGUCUCUUAUACAAGUCUGUUGGGGAUAAGUGUGUCAGAGAAGAAAUCAGAUCAUUAGUGGGUGAGUGGGGAUGCACAUGGUAUAGAGUGAUAGCUUUUUGGGGGGAGAGCCCUUUCAGGUGAGUGGGGGUUUCUGGUACUCCCGGUAGGUGCCUUAGUUAGGGGGUUUGAUUUCUUUUGAGAUGCAUAGGGAUGUGCUUCAGCCUAGGCGUCUUUAUUUUACAGGUUUGUUGGUCCAGGCUGCAGAUCUGCUUCAACAUUGGCAGAAAGCUGAGGAUGCUGGUUCUUGUGGUAGGUGUGCAGGUUAGGGAUACAUUGGUUAAAUGCUUGAAGAGUUCCCUUGGUUUGGGGGGUUAAUGCUAGGGGGUUUAGAUGGAUGUAUAUAUUGGUUUAAGUGUGCUGCCUCAGCUUAGGCAUAUUCGUGUUUUACAGGUUGGACCAUGGUAUGGGAAAAUUCCUCUGUGGUUUUGCUUCAGUCCUGGCAGCUGAGUGGGGAUACUGGAGCCUGUAGUAGGGGUACGGGUGUGGGCUAUAGAACAUCUAAUGUGUGCUGCUUAAGCUUGGGCAACUCUAAAGCUAUCUGCAACUUGCCCCAGAGAGGGGGAAUCUCUUUCCUAAGUCAAAAUAAAAUGACUUGCCCCUUAAUCAACUCUGUGCUAAGAAGUCUGCAGACUGAAGAGUGAAGGGCAAACAUAAAUGCUAAAGAAUAAUACAUGAGCUGUAGGUAAUACAUGAGAAAUGGCAGCGCACAGAUGUGGGGAGUGGAACCUUCUAGGCAUCAGUGGGGAAGGCGCCAC